GUAAACCCUUACUACAUAAUCGUAACUGCGUUUCACAUCAUGCUUAACGACAACCUUAGCUGUUAUAAAAUCUCUAUAAACCAGCUUAUUGCUUUAAUAUCUUAUACUGAUAAUACAAAACACAAAACAUCCAACACAACUGAUAUAUCACACAUCCCAAACACUGAACAUAACCUACAAAUGCAUAGCCUAUUUAAAACAACAACAACAAAACACUGUGUCCCCACGACCUCAGUUCUUAUUUUACUCAGUUUGCUGAACCUUCCUCAAGUGCUUUGUUCGUUUUAACAGCACGAGUCAAUAGGGCACGGGGUGGAAAAGGCUGCACUAAAAGGGGACGAGAAAAUGAGAGAGCGACGAGCUGCACAGAAAAUGGAGGUGAGAGAUAGGAGAGUGGGCUGGAGAGAAUGGAAUAGCUCAGCCGAGCAUCACGCUGCGAUAAGAGCAGCUCUUGUCUUGUCAUCGGGUUCACAGCUUCGCUAAGGAUCCGUGGAGGGAGGCGGCUCAUGACAGGACUGGUUUGAAAUGGAUUUUGUGUUGAAAUGGAGAGAUUCUGCUUUUGUGCAGCUAGAACUGACCGGUCCGAGAUUUCCUCCGGCUUUAUGCAUGAGGCUCACGCUGGAGCAGAGUAAAAGUUAAUGAAGACCAUCUCAAACGACAGCUGCUGAGCCAUUUAAUCACUUAACAUGCUAUUGUUCUAUAAGGUUAUAAUUAAAGUGUUAAUAGGCACUGCCAUUAUUGUGCAAUUGCAAGAUACGGUUAAAUGCAGUUUGCACAGUGCUGCAAAAACCAUUUCAUAUUUAAAGGUGUUUAAAGAUGUUUUUUUACUUACUUACUUUUACUUUUUGAAUGAUAAAUGUUGUCUGCAA